ACCCAAUAGAUACCCAGGUAGUCCACGCUGUAAACGAUGGGUACUAGAUUUGGUGGGUCUUGACCCCCGCCGAAAUCGGCGCUAAACGCAAAUAAGUACCCCGCCUGGGAAGUACGGUCGCAAGACUAAAACUCAAAGGAAUUGACGGGGGCCCGCACAAGCGGUGGAUCAUGUGGUUUAAUUCGAAGCAACGCGAAGAACCUUACCUGGAUUUGACAUCCUCGGACAUCCGUAGAGAUACGGCUUCGUAGCAAUACGACCGGGAGACAGGUGCUGCAUGGCUGUCGUCAGCUCGUGUGGUGACAUGUUGGGUUAAGUCCCGCAACGAGCGCAACCCUUGUCCUUAGUUGCCAGCAUUCAGUUGGGCUCUCUAAGGAGACUGCCGUGGUUAACACGGAGGAAGGUGGGGAUGACGUCAAGUCCUCAUGGCCUUUAUAUCCAGGGCGACACACGUGAUACAAUGGACGGUACAGAGGGACGCUAACCCGCGAGGGGAGCUAAUCUCAAAAAGCCGUUCUCAGUUCGGAUUGGAGUCUGCAACUCGACUCC
rnacentral:rRNA from 1 species